CCUACGGGCGGCUGCAGUGGGGAAUAUUGGACAAUGGGGGGAACCCUGAUCCAGCCAUGCCGCGUGUGUGAAGAAGGCCCUCGGGUUGUAAAGCACUUUCAGUGAGGAAGAACGCCUGGUGGUUAAUACCCAUCAGGAAAGACAUCACUCACAGAAGAAGCACCGGCUAACUCCGUGCCAGCAGCCGCGGUAAUACGGAGGGUGCGAGCGUUAAUCGGAAUUACUGGGCGUAAAGCGCGCGUAGGUGGCUUGAUAAGCCGGUUGUGAAAGCCCCGGGCUCAACCUGGGAACGGCAUCCGGAACUGUCAAGCUAGAGUGCAGGAGAGGAAGGUGGAAUUCCCGGUGUAGCGGUGAAAUGCGUAGAGAUCGGGAGGAAUACCAGUGGCGAAGGCGGCCUUCUGGACUGACACUGACACUGAGGUGCGAAAGCGUGGGUAGCAAACAGGAUUAGAUACCCUGGUAGUC
rnacentral:rRNA from 1 species